rnacentral:rRNA from 1 species
AGUAGUUUGAUCAGUGGCUCAGGACGAACGCUGGCGGCACGCUUAACACAUGCAAGUCGAACGGAGUUAGCCCUUCGGGACUAACUUAGUGGCGGACGGGUGAGUAACACGUGAGCAACCUGCCUUCGAGAGUGGAAUAAUGGCCGGAAACAGCCACUAAUACCGCAUAACACAGCGAGACCGCAUGAUCUUGCUGUCAAAGAUUUAUCGCUCGAAGAUGGGCUCGCGUCCGAUUAGCUAGUUGGUGAGGUAACGGCUCACCAAGGCGACGAUCGGUAGCCGUACUGAGAGGUAGAACGGCCACAUUGGGACUGAGACACGGCCCAGACUCC